rnacentral:rRNA from 1 species
UACGGAGGGAGCUAGCGUUGUUCGGAAUUACUGGGCGUAAAGCGUGCGUAGGCGGUUAUUCAAGUCAGAGGUGAAAGCCCGGGGCUCAACCCCGGAACGGCCUUUGAAACUAGGUAACUAGAAUCUUGGAGAGGUUAGUGGAAUUCCGAGUGUAGAGGUGAAAUUCGUAGAUAUUCGGAAGAACACCAGUGGCGAAGGACGGCUUGA